AGAAGAAGGGCUGGAGAUGUAGGCAAGGUGACUGUUCUCAUUUGGCAGGUGAGGAAAGUGAGGCCCACAGAGGUUCCCUGUCCUGCCCAAGUCACACAGCUGAUAAGCAGGGGAGGUAGGCUGCACCCCAAGCCAGCCUGACCCCAAAACCCUGCCCUUUCUUCCCCCGGGCUCCCCACUUGUGCCCUGUGGAGUCGACCCUCAGGGCCUGGCCACCUCCACCAAGUUCAGAGUCCGUCAUGGUUCAUUCCCUCAAUCCCUCCCUCCCCGGCAGCUGCUCUGUGGGUCUAGCCUGCUCUGUGGUGGAGACAACACUGUUGGGUGCUUCUUAUCCCGUUCCCCUUCCUUUAGCCCCGGUGCCUCCGGUGCAGGGACCCCUAGCUCCGCUCUGGCGCUGUGGGACGGGUGGUCUCAGCUGGGCUGACGUGCAGGCUUAGCCUGGUGAAGCUGCUGCCAUGCCGUCUUCCAGGUUGAUGCUGUGGCUGCCUGAUCUGCCGGCAGAUUUGUGCUGGAUGCAGGGGGUGCUGAGGAGCCUGGCCCUCGGGGUCUACUCCAGGACGAAGGACCAGCUCGUCGGGCUGGUCAAGCCUGCGGGGCACGAGCCCCCUCUAGCCCAAGGCAGUUCCUCCUGUGCUGUUGGCCAAGAAACCCAGACCUGCCCGCCCAUAAGUCCUGAAGGCCACCAAGCUGGACCAGCCCAGUGACUGACCUCUCCUGACCCAUCUUUGUCCUCUGUGCCCACAUCUGCCCUCUUGAGUGAGGCCCGGAUGUGAUUUGCCUUCGGGAGCUCAGUGCCCAGCCCUUGGCCCAGGGUGGGCACUGGAAUUGUCCGAAUGGAGGACUGACGGAACAGCCUCUCAUUUUCCCUCCCGGACUCUUGUCUCAGACAGUGUGGGCAGGUGGCCCUCAGGAGCCAGAGGAGGCCCCACCGGCCCCUUUGGAGCCCCUGCUCCUUGGAGCCAGUUCCCUGAGGUCUGGGUACUUCUUUUUUGGGGAGAGGCCCAGCCUGUUGGUAUUUUCUAGGUUGCUGUGUGCCCAGGUCACCCUGCCCCUGUCUCAUCGGAGGGAGAAAGGAAGGCAGGAGCUGAAAUUCCUGGUUCCGGAAUUUCCAAAUGGGGGAUUUGGGAGCAGCAUCUGCUGAGAAGGGGGGUUCCAGCAAUCGUGUAGAGCUGUGUACAGAGUGCUUUACCGAAGAUGGAGAAUAUGCUCAUAUCAGAGACUGGGGAGCAACUGGAAAUGAUGGGGUGAUGUGCCUCCCUUCAGAUCCUUUCUCUCACGAUCUCUGUCCUGCACCAGCCCUCGGGAAUGAGCCUCACGGUCUGCCUCACUCCAGCAACCUUGAUCUCUGACUUCCUACUGGGUCCAUCCAGUGGGAGCCCCUCUCAGGAGAUGGGGGGUGUGUGGGGAGAGAUGAAAGGAAUUAAAGUCUUUGCAGAAUUCCAGCUGCAUGAGCUUCUGUUGGGGUGCCCCCAACUCCUUGACGCCACCACCACAGCCGCC
rnacentral:lncRNA from 1 species